rnacentral:rRNA from 1 species
UACGAAGGGGGCUAGCGUUGCUCGGAAUCACUGGGCGUAAAGGGAGCGUAGGCGGCGUGGUAAGUCAGAUGUGAAAUCCCGGGGCUCAACCCCGGAACUGCAUCCGAUACUGCCGUGCUAGAGGAUUGGAGAGGUAGCUGGAAUUCUCGGUGUAGCGGUGAAAUGCGUAGAUAUCGAGAGGAAUACCUGCGGCGAAGGCGGGUUGCUGGGCUGACACUGACGCUGAAGCGCGAAAGCUAGGGGAGCGAACGGG